UACGAAGGGGGCUAGCGUUGUUCGGAAUUACUGGGCGUAAAGCGCACGUAGGCGGGUCGUUAAGUCAGGGGUGAAAUCCCGGAGCUCAACUCCGGAACUGCCUUUGAUACUGGCGAUCUUGAGAUCGGAAGAGGUGAGUGGAAUUCCCAGUGUAGAGGUGAAAUUCGUAGAUAUUCGCAAGAACACCAGUGGCGAAGGCGGCUCACUGGCCCGAUACUGACGCUGAGGCACGAAAGCGUGGGGAGCAAACAGG
rnacentral:rRNA from 1 species